rnacentral:rRNA from 2 species
AACGGCCAUGCCAUGCUGAAUAUACCGGUUCUCGUUAGAUCACCGAAGUCAAGCAUCAUUGGGCGCGGUCAGUACUUGGGUGGGUGACCACCUGGGAACACCGCGUGCCGUU